GGACAGGGAUGGAGAGUUUGGACAAGGUGCCAGAGAAGAACACCCAGGCAUGGGAAGGGUCAAAUGGGACCUCACAGGUGCCAUGGAUCAGCAUUAGCAGUCCAGGGGCACCAGUGGGGGAGGGAGAAGGAAGAUGUGAGGAGAAGGGAGGCCCAGGGACCACAUUUAAGCCUCUGGGGAAUAAGAUGAGAUGUUGGAAGAAAUGAUGGGGAAAAGAGGGAGUGAUUUUAAGUCAGCUGUUUCUUCAAAAGAGACUUGGUUAAACUGCAAGUGACUGAGUUUUGUUGAAUUGGCAAUUCUAAAUAGAAAUCUCCACCAUCCCCCUGAAAUGAGACCUUGACAGAUAAAGCACACCUUGUAAUUUCAGGUAUAGAGUCUGCCCUUUGACCUUAGUUGAGAAGUUUAGGAGCUUCCCAUACAUGCCAGCCAUUCUCAAGAAGGAAAUGGCAUUCUUACCCCAAAGAGGGGGACUUUUACCUCUGUUCAUAAGAAUGAAGGUUUUGUUUGUCCCAAAGUAAAAUUUUAUAGACAUUGUAAAUAAUGGCUGGACUUGCUCAUGCCUAUUGCUAAGAAGCAAGAGUAUUUUAUGCAUACAUUUCUUGAGCACUUUUAGUUUAAUGAAGUCUUUCACACUUGAUUAGGAUGUAACUUCUUUUGACCCCUGUGGGUAACGUGGAAUCCUCUGCUUUCCUUUGUUUUCUAUUUCUGAUUUUCUGCCUCUUCUUUUAAUACACACCUUCCCUGUUACUUGAUGCUGUCUUCAUUCCUUGCACAGGUCAGCUUUCUCCAUCCCUACCCACCACCUGGGCUUUGGAACUGGUCAGAACCACCAUCCCUCAGUUCAUCACCCUGGCAUUAAAGCCCAACUAGGGUUCUGUGUUAGAUAUACUUAAAUUAAUAGAUACACCUGAAGUCAAAAUUGGCUUUAAGAACCAGGUUUUCUCUUGAAAAUUCAGCAUAAAUUGGAUUUUUAAAAUAAAGUCACUUAAAUUAUGUUAAAGUGGCCUGAUGAAAGAAUCUAAUUGUGAGUUAUUUUGAAAAAGUGACAAAUUACUUUAUGGAUUGGUUAAUUACCAUUUAUUCACUCAGGCACUUGGCUGCAUGAGCUGGGCUCCUCGCUAGGUGCUUAAUUUACCUUGUUUGUAAAUACAUUUUGUUAAAUGUGUGGUUGGCUUAUCCUUGUCGCUGUCUUCUAUAGAGUGAAAGUAGGGUCUCUUCUAAAGGUGGUCCAGAAAAAAAUUACAUACAUGUUUCGAACAAGAUGAUAAUUUGCACUUUAAAUUUAUAGAGCUUUAAAAUCCCCACUUUGCUGUUUUUCUGUUUCACCUUCAUUCCAAAGAGCCUUAAGUUGCCAGAAGUGGUAGAAGCACGCUGAAGCUCCUCACGGGACUUCCACGGCCCAGCCUGCUCCCCAGGUGAAGCCGCCUCCUCCUUGCCUUCUUCCUGGAGCAAGGCAUUGACAGCUGGCAGGGAACAACAGCAUUUGGGCCUAGCAGACAUUUCAGCAGAGCAAAUUUUUAAUUAUUAAGAUGUUGGAAAGUUGCCUUUCUGUUCAGCGGCCAUUUGUGCAGUACCUGCCCUGUGCCAACCACUCUUAGAUGUUGUGGAUCAGAUGUAGGCUUAUCCGAGAACCAGACUGUGCUCAGAGAGUCGGUGGCUGAUGGUAGGAAACAUAAUUCAUCAAAAGACACCAUUUAUUUAUUCACUCCACAACUCUUCAGGAAUGCUGAGGAUGGGUUUGAAAACAAAUGUUUUACUAGCAUUUCCCUGCCCAGUGCUUGGUGGGGUGCAGUGGGGGCUGGGUGGGUGCUGCAGGUUAGGGAGGCAUUCUUUGGGAGAAUUUAUUAGAAUUGGAUUUUAAAAUGAGGGAGGAAGAGGAUUACGAGAGCCAUAAUUAAGCCAUAGAAGAUGGACAGUUAUGAUGAGGGAAAAUGACACGUACUGAAGCUUAGGCUCAAAUAAAGUUCUUGUUCAGGGAUUUUAGACACAAGCAAACAGGUGGGGGAGGGGCUGCGUUGUUUUGUUUUUUUUCUGUAUGGGCUUCCUUGAGAUAAAUCUCAAAUACUAUCUCUGGCAAAUUACACUUUUACUAGCCAUUCAUUCCUUGCUUUGUCCCACUUCUGAUCAUUUAAGAGAGAGAUUCAGCUGCGUGGAAUUGGCCAUUUUGGCAGAUUCUACCAGCCUUCUUUCUCACAUUGGGCACUUGGAAAAAGAACUCUAUUUCCCAGACUCCUUUACUGCCAUGGGUGGUCAUGUGACUAAGCUCUGGCCAAUCCAGUAGGGUCUUCCAGGAACGUGCAUAAUGACAUCUGGCUCCUUUCCUGCCUUCUUUCCUGCCUGGAAUACAGAGGCAAUGGCAGGAUCCAGGGCUGAUAUGCAUGAGGUACAGUGGGUGCAGUGCCGAGUGUCCACCAUAAUUUAGGGACCCAUGAAGAAGUUGUAAUGCCUUUUAAUGUCAGAAGGAAAAAAACCUUUUAAGCUGAGGAUGUUUUGACAUCAUGUUCAUGUGUCUGUCUUUAUACCAAUGAGGUCAUAAUAUUUUGUUCAUUUGUUUUUGAGGGAUCCGCGAAGGCACUAGCAGAAGGUACAAUGCAGCUCUGGUCGCAGCUACACCUGGAGAAGGACAGAGCAAGAGACAGGGGCCCCAAAGAGCUACUGGGGCUGCCACACGGUGCAGGCAGCCCACUUGUGGAUGUCUAGUGUAUGUGGCACGCACCCCAUGUGUUUAGGUUCAUGUAUUUGGGUGUACCUAGUUGUAGAUGUUUGCAAUUCCUAACUAACAGCCAUUCCUCUCACCAUCCCCAGCCCCGCCGAUGGGUGACUAAUUGGAAAUACGUGGAGUGCAGUCCGUUAACCAGCAUUUUGAAGGUUUUGGACUCUUCUCUCACUUCAGAAUCCCAGGCACAGGAAAUUGCCUGUCUCUUUAUUGGCAGGUUUCUUAGAGAACACGAGGGUUCUUCUCCUGGACCUGCCCUGGAGUCCUCUCAUGGUUUUCCCGAUUAUUCCAUAGCCAAUGCUGGGUCCCCAUUCUGCCUGCACCCUCACACUCCUGCCUCUGGCUCAAGCAGAAAAAGCCCCUGGUGUCACGUGUCACAAACAACAAAACUCAUUUGAAUGGACUUCUUUGGAAACUUGUGGCUUCCAGCUCCUUUGAAGCUCAUUCAAAUGCAGGAUGUGGUUUGCACUCAUAAAUACACCAAUACCCUCAUUUCAGAACUCUCCCAGCUCCUUGGUUUGGAUCUAAGUAAGCUGACCAGUGAAAGACCUUGUGGUCCUAGGAGAGGCCAAUGGGAUUCCACUGAAACCAUCACCCGUUUUAGUUGAGAUAAAAUAUGACUUGGGGAUAUUCCUUCUGCCAAUAGUAUUAUGCAUCUUGUUAUUUGUCCAAAUAGCCUUAAAAAGGGUUGAGAAAAGGCUCAGUAGAUAAUAACAAAUCAGUGGAAACAUUAGUGAUAUCAGAACAUUUCUCUCCCUCUUUCUCUUGCUCCUCUUCUGUGUGGAACAUACGCCAGAGUGGUGUAAGCCAGACUGAGCCUGCCUUGCGUUCAUUUACAAGGGUGAUUUUUGUGCUGCAUUGAUUUUCAGCAUUUCCGUAAAAGCUGGCUAAAAUAUUACCUUGUACAUUAGAUGCAACAUUUUGGCUUCCAGCCUUGAUCACCACAGGUCUGAGAGAAAAGAAAGUCAGGCUGCUUAGAUAAAAGAGGUGUGCUUGAGCAAGGGGAGUCUGAUUACUGUCGAGAAAAUGAAAGAAAAAAAGAGUAAAGUAGGCCUCAAAUGGAGAUGGAGAGAAGCAGGAAAAAUGAUCCUCCAUUUGGGAAGGAAAACAAAGAGACAGAAUUAGGGUUUUCUGAGGGUGUAAUGCGUGAGGCCAAAUGGACCCCAAGCAUAGAAACAGUCGAGUAUGAGGAAGAUGAGAGGCUGAGUGUGGGCUGAUGGUGCCCACAGGCCUAUGGGCCCGGAGACACCCUGCAUCCUGCUCUGAACUCUGGACCGUGGACUGGUCAUCCUGUGCUGCUGCCAGGCUGGGCUCACGUUCACAUCCCGCCUCAGUCGAACACAUGGGCUCUCUCCUCCUCCUCCUUUGUUUUUCUUUUAAAUUCUUAUCAGCGUCCUGCUGAAUAAGACCUUGCAACUUACCUGUUCUGGUGUUGCUCUAUCAGCUUUACUGAUCUAUAUUUGCAUCUUAAUUUUCUUAUAUCCCAGAGUAGUAGAAGAUGCUCAAUUAUAUCUGUUACAUGCCUCACCUCAGUUUCCUGUCUGACACUUGACUGCUUUGGGAGCUUUACCUCUGAAGUAUUAAAAAAAUAACAACUAUGUUAUUAAUGAUAGUGCAGUGGUAAGAGUCUUGACAUUAUUUCAAAAGAAACUUUGCACCACUGUUUUAUUUUUAUUUUACUUUUUUGGAACAGAGCUUAAGCAUCUUUGAGUCUUGAGCAGCUGGAUAAUUUCAUGCAUUUAUGGGGAAGGUUUUUUGAACGCUUCAUUAUGUCUCUUCUUUCCCACUGGUGAAUUAUGCACAUUGAUGCGGCAGUUAAAAUUCUCAAAUGGCCCCAUGGAGGCACGGAUGGAGUGGAGUUAGGCUGUCUUCAAAUGCCUUUUAGGUGGCCUCAGCCAACCCAUAGGGUGAAUUAUGUUUCUUUCCCUUUUGCAAAACGCAAAGCAAAGUAAAAACUAAAUACUAAUAAGAACAACAAAAAACAAUCUCCUCUGCAGGGAUAUGCUGGAGUGCUUCUGAUUGCAAUGACUAGAUUGCUUUUAAGUAUAUAUUAAUGCAUCUCUCCUUUGUGCUUUCACAGUACUUGAUGUGACUUUCUAUCAUUAAAAUUAUAACAAUCACUUGAGUCACUUAAAAAAUAGUUUCCUGUUCCCCUUUCUCUAUGAGUUCUUGGAGUGAAGGGUGAGGUCCAAGAAGAGUUACAGGUUAAUAGCAUGACCCACAUAGGCUCCAAGAGAGCCAGAGGCAAACACAAGCUGGCCUGAGUAAUGACUGUGUGACUUUGGACAAGGUAUUAGCGUCUCUGAGCCAUGUCUUUGUAUGUGAAAAAUCAGGCCGGUGCCCACCAUUUUUGUCCAUGGAAGAUCGGCUAACAGGGGUAAACUUCCUACCUUAGAACCUGAAACAAAGUAGGCCCUUGAGAAUUGUCUGCUGGGUUGGAUUGAAUUAAACAUAUACUUUGCUUUAUUGGAACAUAGGCCAUUGACAAAUAAUUCUAACAAUACCAAAAUGAAAUACUGUAAACCACAAAUCUUUUCUCUAGAAAUUAUGCCUUGUACCGCCUCAGAAACUUUUCUUAUUUUAUUCUAUAGGAAAUUCUCUUGGAGCAUGAUAACGGGAGAAAAAAGAAUGUAUACAUGUAUGUGUAAUUGGGUCACCAUGCUGUACAGUAGAAAAAAAAAGUAUUAGGGAAAUAAAAAAAAAUUUAAAAAAAUAAAAUAAAGAUAUUUAAAUCAAAAAAAAAAAAGAAAAAAAAA
rnacentral:lncRNA from 1 species